UCAGCCCAAACGAGAUCUCCUUCCAAGACAUGGCGCUCUCGUAUCUCCAGCGCCCACUUCAAUUCCACUCUUUCCAAACCCUAAUACCCAUCCUACCUUCUCUCCACCACCACCAUUUCAAGGAGGUUUCUUCGCUUGUCCAUCAGGUUUCAUAGAAAUUCGUUCCUCAACUGAAUGGUUAAUUAAUAGAUUCAUCAGAUCAAAAACUUCUUUUGCCUCUAUCAGCAUAUUUGCGGACGCACUUCGGUCUUCGCAAAGAGGGGAUACUGGCGGAGGCAAAAGAAGUUUUUGAUCUGAUAGUUAUGAUAAUUAUGACCGUUUUCGCGUGAUGACCGCUCGUUUCCAGAUUGGAUUUACGUCCUCAAGGUUGGGACAAAUGUCAGGGGUCAAUUGCAAGCAAGCAGGAAAAGUUGGGUUGUUCCAUUCAGGUGAUGACAAUGCUUCAACAAGGAAUCCAAAACCGAACCACUGAAACAACUCGAGCCAAUGAAACUUCUUCAGGCACCCCCAUGCUAUUCUGCAGGUUGUGGUUGAGUACCGAGUUAAAGUUGCUGCCAUGAAUGUUGUCAGCCGAGUGGGCAAGCUGUCACUGAUUGAUCUUUGCUUGGGUCAGAGAGAGCCCUUGCUACAGAUCAGAGGACACUUAAGAUCUCUUGAUGCUACAAUUCUUUGUACCAGGAACCAAACAAAUUAUAAAGAAAUUAUAGCAACAGAGAAACACCAACUUAUGGAUGAGGACGCAAUCCCGGAGUCACAACCGAAGGUCUUGAAGUGAGCGUCGACGAAUCCACCGCGCCUGUCGCCCUUUGUAUCCGAUUCGCGAUGCUUAUCAAGCUUUUGCUCUCCAUGGUCACCAUUUUGCAAGCCCUAGAAGAACCAGAAGAAGAAGAAGUGGAUGAACGAGAAAGACGGAGAUGGUCUGAGAUGGAAGAAGAAGAUGAGGAAAAUGAAGAAUAUUUUAGAUUAGGGAAUACUCAGAAUAGAAGAUGCGCAACCUUUUACUUUUUACAUUUUUUUUGUUCAGGGAAAUGAGGGUUAAAUGAAUAGCUUGAAGCUUCCAGUUAAAAAACAAAAAUUAAAAAUUAAAAAAAAAAAAAGAAUAGCAAAACACAUUGUAUGCAUUCAGGAUGCAGAGUCAUUUAUCAAACUUCAAACCAAAUGCAAAACGCACCAUUUGGAGUUAGUAGUGGCUAACAAAAACUUCUGGAAAAAAACUUCAAUGCUCAUCUGGCAUGUGGCUUUCUAGAGUCUUCCAACCUCCCAUCUUUUACAAUUAUACCCUUCAUGCCUUCAAUAAUCAACAAAACUAUUAUUUUCCUUUUCCUUGAAAUUCAGGCUUCGUCUCUUUCUUUUCCUUUCGUCAUCUUUUCGCAAAUCUCAUUAUCUCAGCCGCCGUCUCAACAAUCAACAUAUCUCAGCCACUGCCUUCCUCCAAUUCUGCUCAAAGAAUCCAAAGCAUGACUAGUAACGAAGAGAAAAAAGGAUGACUCAUUUCAUUUGAAGUAAGGCGUAUGACUCAUGAGGGACAACUGGAGUCGCCGGACAAGGGGG